rnacentral:rRNA from 1 species
GAUGAACGCUGGCGGCGUGCUUAAUACAUGCAAGUCGAGCGAACGGACGCGAAGCUUGCCUCUCUGAUGUUAGCGGCGGACGGGUGAGUUACACGUGGAUAACCUACUUAUAAGACAGGGAUAACUUCGGUAAACCGGAGCUAAUACCGGAUAAUAUUUUGAACCGGAUGGUUCAAAAGUGAAAGACGGUCUUGCUGUCACUUAUAGAUGGAUCCGCGCUACAUUAGCUAGUUGGUGAGGUAACGGCUUACCAAGGCAACGAUGCAUAGCCGGCCUGAGAGGGUGAUCGGCCACACUGGAACUGAGACACGGUCCAGACUCCUACGGGAGGCAGCAGUAGGGAAUCUUGCACAAUGGGCGAAAGCCUGACUGAGCAACGCCGCGUGAGUGAUGAAGGUCUUCGGAUCGUAAAACGCUGUUAUUAGGAAAGAACAGGUGUUGAUUUAUCUGCGCACAUAAUGACGGUACCUAAAGAAUAAGCCACGGCUAACUACGUG